CUGCGAAUGGCUCAUUAAAUCAGUUAUCGUUUACUUGAUAGUACCUUACUACACGGAUAUCUGUGGUAAUUCUAGAGUUAAUACGUGCUAAAAACCUCGACUUCGGAAGGGGUGUAUUUAUUAGACUAAAAACCAAUGCCCUUCGGGGCUCCUUGGUGAUUCAUAAUAACUCAACGAAUCGCAUGGCCUUGCGCCGGCGAUGGUUCAUUCAAAUUUCUGCCCUAUCAACUUUCGAUGCUAGGGUAGUGGCCUAGCAUGGUUACAACGGGUAACGGGGGAUUAGGGUUCUAUUCCGGAGAGGGAGCCUGAGAAACGGCUACCACAUCCAAGGAAGGCAGCAGGCGCGCAAAUUACCCAAUCCCGACACGGGGAGGUAGUGACAAUAAAUACUGAUACAGGGCUCUUUUGGGUCUUGUAAUUGGAAUGAGUACGAUUUAAACACCCUAACGAGGAACAAUUGGAGGGCAAGUCUGGUGCCAGCAGCCGCGGUAAUUCCAGCUCCAAUAGCGUAUAUUAAAGUUGUUGCAGUUAAAACGCUCGUCGUUGAACCUUGGGCCUGGGCGACCGGUCUCCCUCACCGGAUGCACUGGUUCGGCCGGGCCUUUCCUUCUGGGGAAUCGCAUGCCCUUCGCUGGGCGUGUCGAGGAUCCAGGACUUUUACUUUGAAAAAAUUAGAGUGUUCAAAGCAGGCCUUUGCUCGAAUACCUUAGCAUGGAAUAAUAGAAUAGGACGUGCGGUCCUAUUUUGUUGGUUUCUAGGACCGCCGUAAUGAUUAAUAGGGUCAGUUGGGGGCAUCAGUAUUCAAUUGUCAGAGGUGAAAUUCUUAGAUUUAUUGAAGACUAACUACUGCGAAAGCAUUUGCCAAAGAUGUUUUCAUUAAUCAGUGAACGAAAGUUAGGGGAUCGAAGACGAUCAGAUACCGUCGUAGUCCUAACCAUAAACUAUGCCGACUAGGGAUCGGGCGAUGUUAUCAUUUUGACUCGCUCGGCACCUACGAGAAUCAAGUGUUUGGUCUGGGGGAUUGUCC
rnacentral:rRNA from 1 species